GCUUUCGUGGUGUAGUGGUCAGCACGCUCGGCGCGUAUUCGAGAGGUCAGUGGUUCGAGUCCUGGCGAAGGCG
rnacentral:tRNA from 1 species